rnacentral:pre_miRNA from 1 species
GUAUGGAAGAAUCUGUUAAGCUCAGGAGGGAUAGCGCCAUGGAUGAUCCAUCUUUCAAGCUUUCAUGCAUGUAUGUUAUUUGAUCCUCAUAUAGCGCUAUCCAUCCUGAGUUUCAUCGGUUCUUCUUGCUUG